AGUCACUGACAUUAGAUACCCCUGUAGUCCCAGCCCUAAACGAUGCGUGUUAGGUGUAUCGGUGACCACGAGUCACCGAGGUGCCGAAGGGAAACCGUGAAACGUGCCGCCUGGGAAGUACGGUCGCAAGGCUGAAACUUAAAGGAAUUGGCGGGGGAGCACCGCAACGGGAGGAGCGUGCGGUUCAAUUGGAUUCAACGCCGGACAACUCACCAGGAGCGACGGUUACAUGAAGGCCAGGCUGAUGACCUUGCCUGAUUUUCCG
rnacentral:rRNA from 1 species